UAUCUACUAUAUCUAUUAUACGAGAACAGCUUUUUACCUUGAGCAAAUUUAUUCAGGUUUGGAGACCCCAAACCUACUUUCUAACCUCCGCUAAUGUUAAGUCAUGUCCCUCUGCUUCUUCUACCCGACCUAAAGCUACAUGUCAGCGCUGAUAACACUAUUCAGCAUCUGCUUUCGGACUCCAUGACGCCCGAUCUUGUGACUCAUUCAGGUGAGUUCGAUGUUGUUGGAAUCAACCCACAGCAAAGUGCAGAUGCUGCUUCAGCCUUGGGCUGGCCACAAGUCGUAUGCAGAGAAAGAAGAUUCAAGAUUUUUGACUUGGAAGUUGGGGCACUUUCGGGGAUAUCAAACUCAGAAGUGCCUGUGGUACAAGCUGUGUAUGCCAGCAUGAAAGGAUUAAUCAAAAUGCACAACCCAAGUGUCGUGAUCACAAUCAAUGAUAUCGAUCUUAAUGUGAUGAAAGCCUUGAAGAUGGCAACAGAGACUAAUACAAAUGGUUCUGUUUUGAUUUUAUUACCAAGGUCCUCGGUGUCAAAGGCUCUUUGGAUGGCCGAUUUGCGGGCUACAGCUUUACCAAAAUAAAACUGAAGAGAAGUUCAAGCCAAAGCCAGCUUCCCUUGCGGCAAGUCGGAAACAGCUAUUGCUGCCAAAAGCUCCUCCAGCUGCUUCAAAACAGGAAUGUGGUGGAUCUUCAUCAGCACUGAAGCCACAAAUUGAUGACUCAUAUAUCGCUUUUUUGGAGGAUAUAUAAGAGCUGGGUGCUCUUGAUAGUUGUGUUGAUUUUCAAAUGAGAUGGUGGAAAUGUGAAGAGUUGCAUGGAAGUUUCUGAAGGUUAAGCAGUGUAUAUAGGCCGGGACGAUAAUGCACAAUGAUUUAUGUGCGGGAGAACAUUUCCCCAUGGUUUAUGGCUGGUUCCUUUCACUAAUAUUACAGUCAUUUGGGACCUCCGCGAAGACUAUUAACUGCAGAAGAAGAAGAAGAUACCAAUUAUCUGGCUAUUUUCUUUGCUUUUUGUAGUUGCCAGAGGCCUCUAGCUCAGCACACACUACAGCUUACCUCUAUGUUAAUUGCUGGGGCAUUAUUACAGACCUCAGAUGUUGAUAGCUACAAGAACUCAUCUAUGGUGUUGGAAUCAGUCCACGGCAAAGUGCAGCUUUAGCGUCUUCCAUGCUUUCUCGCUGCCGGCAUCGGAUUUCGGGGGCAUCAGACCUCUCUCUGACCUCCGACAUUAAUCCAAAUUAGGAUAUUGUAAGCUAAUUAGUCCCAAUCUCAACUACCCGAAACAGAAGCUCUGAAGAAUCAAUAAACAAAUCGAAGAGGGAGAAUGCAAACCUGGAAACCAUAGUUAAUGUCUUGCCAAACAACGGAGUUGCCGAUCAUUGUGGUCUCGUGUAAUUCAUUAUUACACGUAACUAUGUAACAAUAAUACGUAUAGGAAGGGAGUAUUCACAUAAUAAUUUGGGAAGUUGAAACACAAAUGGUGGAUGUCAUGGAGCCAACUCCUACGGCGGAGAUGCAAUGUGGUCCUGUAAUGGUAACCUAUCUUUAGCAAAGAAGGUGAAGGUCCACCUAACGGCAACAUCAUUAUUAUUAUCAAAUAUUUUUUUUUUAAUAUUAUGAAAUGUUUAUGACAUAGUACAUAAAAUUCAUAGUAUAUGGCCAUCGAGUCUAGGUGUCAUUUUUUUAUUUCGAACUUCUCAUGAUAACGACGAGGUAAUAACAUCUAAAGAUGGAAUUCUUGAUAUGUACUGGCGGUUGCUUUAGUGUUUUGUUUAGUAUGUGUUCAUCAUUGACAUACCUUCAUUUUAUUAAAUUUUACAUGGAGUUAGCAUU